rnacentral:sRNA from 1 species
AGUGCGCGACGGCGGCGGCGGCGCGGGAGAUUCGGAGCGGGAGCUCGGGCUCGCGGACGGUAUGGAGGACUACGAGCAGGAGCUGUGCGGCGUCGAGGAUGAUUUCCACAACCAGUUCGCUGCCGAGCUGGAGGUGCUGGCAGAGCUGGAAGGGGCGUCGACUCCGUCGCCCUCCGGGGUCCCCCUGUCCACCGCGGGCCGACCCCCGCGGACGUUCGAGGAGGCCCUUGCCAGAGGGGACGCGGCCUCCAGUCCCGCCCCAGCCGCAUCUGUGGGCAGCAGCCAGGGCGGCGCCAGGAAGAGGCAGGUGGACGCCGACCUGCAGCCGGCCGGGUCCCUGCCCCACGCCCCCAGGAUCAAACGGCCUAGGCUGCAGGUGGUCAAGAGGCUGAACUUCAGGUCGGAGGAGAUGGAGGAGCCGCCCCCUCCCGACUCCUCGCCGACGGACAUCACCCCGCCGCCGAGCCCUGAGGACCUCGCAGAGCUUUGGGGCCACGGAGUCUCAGACGCUGCUGCCGACGUGGGUCUCACACGGGCCUCACCAGCUGCCCGCAAUCCCGUCCUGAGGCGGCCCCCCAUCUUGGAGGACUAUGUCCACGUGACAUCCACGGAGGGCGUCCGGGCUUAUCUGGUGCUGCGUGCUGACCCCAUGGCCCCGGGGGUGCAGGGCUCUCUCCUCCAUGUCCCAUGGCGAGGCGGUGGCCAGCUGGACCUGCUGGGUGUGUCCUUUGCCUCCCUGAAGAAGCAGGUCGACGGCGAGGUAGGGGCUGCGGGUUUACUGGGGGCUGGUGGCGGGGCCGCCUGAGCCCUCCUGAUUCCAGCCUGUUUGCACAGCGGCGGGAGCGGCUGCUUCAGGAGGCCCAGAGGCUUUCAGACACCCUGCACAGUCUCAGGUCGGGGGAGGAGGAGGCAGCCCAGCCCUUGGGGGCCCCUGAGGAGGAGCUGACUGACGGCCAAGACGCCUCCAGUCAAUGCCUCUGGGUGGAUGAGUUUGCACCCCGCUACUACACGGAGCUGCUCAGUGAUGACGUGAGGUUUUGUUCUCGCUUAAGUGUGGCUGGCUUUCUCUGUUCCCAAGACGGAAGAACCUGGGCCCAGUGAUUUUUGCACAGCCAAUCCACUGGGCCUCGGGGACGGAGUGGGCUCUGGUUUGCCCUUUUGAGUUGUA